UGGGGAAUUUUGGACAAUGGGCGAAAGCCUGAUCCAGCAAUGCCGCGUGUGUGAAGAAGGCCUUCGGGUUGUAAAGCACUUUUGUCCGGAAAGAAAUCCUUGGCUCUAAUACAGUCGGGGGAUGACGGUACCGGAAGAAUAAGCACCGGCUAACUACGUGCCAGCAGCCGCGGUAAUACGUAGGGUGCAAGCGUUAAUCGGAAUUACUGGGCGUAAAGCGUGCGCAGGCGGUUUGCUAAGACCGAUGUGAAAUCCCCGGGCUCAACCUGGGAACUGCAUUGGUGACUGGCAGGCUAGAGUAUGGCAGAGGGGGGUAGAAUUCCACGUGUAGCAGUGAAAUGCGUAGAGAUGUGGAGGAAUACCGAUGGCGAAGGCAGCCCCCUGGGCCAAUACUGACGCUCAUGCACGAAAGCGUGGGGAGCAAACAGGAUUAGAUACCCUGGUAGUCCACGCCCCAUAAACGUAUGUCAACUUAGUUUGGUUGGGGAUUCAUUUCCUUAGUAACGUAGCUAACGCGUUAAUGCAGUACCGCCUGGGGGAGUACGGCCGCAAGGUAAAUCAUUAAAUGAAUUGACGGGGUCAUAGCUGUUU
rnacentral:rRNA from 1 species